rnacentral:rRNA from 1 species
CUUGGUCAUUUAGAGGAAGUAAAAUCGUAACAAGGUUUCCGUAGGUGAACCUGCGGAAGGAUCAUUACCGUGGGCUUCGGCCCCAUUGAGAUAGCACCCUUUGUUUAUGAGUACCCUUGUUUCUCGGCGGGCUUGCCCGCCACGAGGACAAUAAAAACCCUUUGUAGUAGCGUAACUUCAGUUAAUAAUAAAUAUUAAAACUUUCAACAACGGAUCUCUUGUUCUGGCAUCGAUGAAGAACGCAGCGAAAUGCGAUAAGUAGUGUGAAUGCAGAAUUCAGUGAAUCAUCGAAUCUUUGAACGCACAUUGCGCCCUUCGUAUUCCGUUGGGCAUGCCUGUUCGAGCGUCAUUUAAACCUUCAAGCUAUCUUGGUGUUGGGUGUUUGUUCCGCCUCAGCGCGUGGACUCGCCUUAAAUCAUUGGCAGCCGGUAUGUUGGCUUCGUGCGCAGCACAUUGCAAUCGACUCAGCAAACCCCCUUCCACAAGCCUUUUUUUACUUUGACCUCGGAUCAGGAGGGAUACCCGCUGAACUUAAGCAUAUCAAUAAGCGGAGGAAAGGGGCU